rnacentral:rRNA from 1 species
CGAUUCGCCCUUCGGGGUGCCGCGGCGCGAUUUCUUUGCAUGCUGGAAACCGUGAUUAGGGAGCUCUGAGUGCCCGUAAAAUCGGGCUGUCCAUCGGUUUAAAUAACCGGUGAAGAAAGGGCCGGGCAAGACCGGUGCCAGCCGCCGCGGUAAUACCGGCGGCUCGAUUGGUGGCCACUAUUACUGGGCUUAAAGCGUUCGCAGCUGGUCUGUUAAGUCUCUGGGGAAAUCUUCCGGCUUAACCGGAAGGCAUCUCACGGAUACUGGUAUACUAGGGACCGGGAGAGGUGAGAGGUACUCCAGGGGUACGAGUGAAAUCCUGUAAUCCUUGGGGGACCACCUGUGGCGAAGGCGUCUCACCAGAACGGCUCCCACUGUGAGGGACGAAAGCUGGGGGAGCAAACCGGAUUAGAUACCCACGGUAGUCCCAGCUGUAAACGAUGCGCGUUACGUGUAUCGCUGACCACGAUUCACCGAGGUGCCGAACAGAAAUCGUGAAACGUGCCGCCUGGCAAGUACGGUCGCAAGGCUGAAACUUAAAGGAAUUGGCGGGGGAGCAC